GCAAUAAAUUAAUGACUAAUCUCACCGUUUUCAGAAAAACGCGCCGCGGUACAAAGCAACGAGAAGCUGAGCCUGAAGAACAUUAAGAACCAAACUGGUUUGUAUCCGAGAAUAACCCUUUCUUUAAUUAAGAGGUGAAUGCUUUCCAUGACAGUUGGGUUAUACAACCUAUUCUAAGGCAGAAGAAAAAUGACUUCAGUUAUCGAGAUCUCUGAUCACUUGGCAAGCCACCCUGCUGCCUGCUACUUCUCGCUACGGACCCAACACGAGUUUUCAGAUGAUGGGCUGAGCUUUCAGGCUCCCCUGAGCGCCCCAGGUAGGCGCUGCCUCUCAAUUCUUCGCUGCAGGAACCGGCUGGGGCGAGUGGGAGAUCGCUGGUUGAUUAGCACGUUGCUUCAACGCGUACCGGAUGUGUCGAAAAGCACACAAGCCUUACGGUCCUGUCGUCGUUUGGUUUUUUGUUGUUGUUGUUUUAAUUUAUCUGGGAAAUCAGCUCAAGAAGUACCCUGACAGUUAAACCACCGAGGAAGGAGCGCUUUGUGGAGCUCGUGCUCUGAUUCAAACAGCUUCCCCUGCAAUUCCACAGAGGCGAGGUUCCACUCUAACUCGCAUCACAUGUGCGCUGUUCUGGGGAAGAGCAACUUUUGAAGGCACUUAUGAUUCAUUCCCCUUCUCUGCUCUACUCCACCCACAAACAUGCAGCUUUUAAUGGUCCUCCCAAGUCGCCAGGCUUCACGCAGAGAGAAAACACCCAGUUCUCAGAACUGGGUCUGCCCAAAGUUGGGAGAGGAAAGCCACCAGGCGAUGGAAGAUGUCCGUAGUGCUUCACUGGAAACGUACCGGAGCGGCGCCAACAGAACAACGGCACGUUUAACACAAAAAGCUUUGAACUUUGGAGGAAGGAGUAACGAAGUGUAAGUGGAGAGGGAGGCAGUGCUCGAGUCCUCGGGCUCGUUAUGCCACAGAGCGCCGGCGAUGCCAUGGCAGCAGGGGCGCACUGCACACGCCUGCCUUGGGGAGGUUCACAACCCUCCUCUGCUGGAAGCGCGAUGCCCCACACCGAAUUCCAGCUCCCUGAGAGCUGUUUUCACUUCCCUUCACCUUUCCACAGCCAAGUUUAUUGCUGCUACUCCACCGUUUACUUGAUUUCACCACAACCUGCACCCCGAGCAGCCGCAGCCUCCCCCUGCUGUAAGCCACGUUUGAGCAUUAUUUAGUCUGGAAGAGGCACACUUGCCAGAUUUCAGAGGCUAAGAUCAUCACACAGACUGGAAGCUGCCCACAGCACCGCUUCACCUACACCACGCUGGCUUCCAUCCUUACUCCAGGAAUACUCACAGCCCUGUGCUUCCCCACUUUGUGUCGGAGACACCCCUUAUCUUCCCUCCACACGCAGAGGACACAACAUCUCAGUGGCUUUCUCCUUUAGGAGACAGGACUUCAACCCUUACGUGCUCAGCCACGCACGGUUUGUGUCCUCCUGUGCCAACGCCGGGGUCUGGCGGCCAGAAGGUUCCCUCAGACAUUAACAAAGCACAAAAGCUUUUCCUCGUUACGGAGCAGACACGGAGAGAAACGUCCCUCGUGCUGAACGCAACGCUUCGCAGACUAACCUCAUCAGGAGCGCUGCCUCACGACGGCAGCACUUUGCUAAAAUCCAGCACGUUACAGCCUUCCAAAAGGGAAACUCAUAGGAAAGAAAAAAAUGAGACAUCUGUGCGCUACUCUGGCAAAUCCGUAUCUUGAGAUGAGUCGAAUUAUACCGGGUUAUCAUUAAAGUUUACCUAACACACACAGACCAUUAGCACAGCACCUGAAUUCCGCAGGACCGCUAACGCCCUGCACCUUCCCCAAUUGGUUCCAGUCCCAUCAUCCAAGCUCAUUAAGCGAGGACGCAGCUCGGGUGGCAAGCUUUUCUGGGCCAAAUCCAUCCUUAAUUCAAACCUCUGCCUAAACACCAAAGCUACCUACACCCGAAGGGAUGAAAACACACGUCCUGCUCAGCCAGCUUCAGCCCCGCGUCCACGUUUUCGGCGGCCGGGGCUGCUCUCGGUGCGAGGGGCACGGCGCUCGGCGCGGCUGCUGACGUGCCCUUUGCCACCCGCUGCCUCACGCGGCGCUGAGCAAACGCAGCCCAGACCCAAGCUCUCCUCGAGCCGCUCCGGCACGGGGAGACGAAGGCUGCUGAUAAAGCGAGGCAGGAGUCCUUCCGACGGAUCUCCGAGCACGUUUCAGAGGCAGGCGGCAGGACUGCAUGCACUUGGCGGUGGUUCCAGUCGCAGAAGGAACACGUGCGCACUGAGAAGGCAGAGACUCGGGAGCCGUUCAGGAUGUUCACGUGGAGUUUGUGGCUAACUACAAGUCCUGAUAUGUAGCUGGGUUAACACCUAUCCGCUAGGGGUACCAAAAUGCACAGCACCUCAACAUGCAGUUUUUCACUUGCAUCUUGGACAAGAGAAGGGUAGAAAUAUCGAAUGCUGGAGCCGCGCAGAAGGUACAGUGCAUAGUCCAUUAUAUAAAACAUGCGGGUAACUCAAACCCCUUCUAAAUUUCUUCAAAAUGGAAAUAGGGUUUAAAGGGCACAGCAGCUACUAGUUUGGCUUUUUUAUUUAUUUAUUCAAAACCAUGAAAACCCAACGCAGAGGGUGAAAUAAGGGCAGAACAUGAUCUGCAAGUCAACAGCUGAGAGUUUCAGAAGCUGUGAAGCUUUUGUGUAGUUAAAAUUGCUGUUAAAAGUAGGUGCUACAUCAGCAAGUCUUCAUUCAUAGUUUUCUAUGAACAGCCACCUUACAAAUGAGUGCAAAUCUUAAAGGUCCAUUUUACAUUUCAAGUCUCAAGGUUAAAAAAAAAAUUGUUACAGAGCAACAAGCUGUUUCUGUAAAUGCCCACGCUGUCUCUUUUCAAAUGGUUAAAAAUGGCAUGUGCUAUGCCACAGCUACUAAAAGACAUUUCAGAAGUCUAGACCCAACUAAAACACUAAAAUAAAAAAUAGAAACCAAAAUACCUUUGCCCCUUGCUGCAGAGCAGCAACCAGGUGCUUUCCGUUGUAAUGCUGGUGAACAAACUGAUUUACAGAGAGAACCUUGGCCUAAACCCCGAUUUUAUUCUUAGCGAGGGGCUUUCUAACACAACGUGAGCAGGUACAGCCUCUCUGAGAUCAUUUUGCUUUCAAUGCACACAAGCCAGAAUUCCGAGGAUGAAAUGGAGAGGUGCUGAGUUUGUGUCACUAUGCAGGCACUUGUGUAGAGGAAUGUAGGCUUCUCAUGUUGACACUUAGUGUUGACGCGUUCCCUGCUCUCUAAAAGCUUCCCUAAGAGUUGGCUACCCUACCGACCACGAAGAGUUCCUGGUCUCCUCCCCACCACCUUGCAGAUAGACAGCAGUGGAGUUUGACACAAGGUGCAAAGGAGAAUAUGAGCCAAAUACUGUAGUCUUGAGGACAAAAUACAACUGUGCUAAAUGUAGGAUCUUCACAGAAGGUGACAUCAGUGGGCUCAGCACUUAGUUUGCAUAGCAUAGUGAUGUCUUCGUUUUUCACAAAUAUGUUGCCCAGAAAGAAAACAGGUAGAGUGAAUUCCUGGUGCUAGGACAGAUUAAUGGGCCAACAUGACUACUGCGGUUUUCAUGAAGGCAAGGCGAGUUCAAACAUCGGAAAGUACAGAACUAAAAGAUGUGCUUCUAUCCACACGUACUGACAAGGGGCAGUGCUUGGGAUAGAUCUGCUUUGAAAAUGCGUUCGCUCUUGGCAGUAAAAUGGUGACAGCUCUUCCGUGAAAGAGCUUGGUAGGAGUGCACACGUAAUUCUUCCUCUUGAAGGAAGCGUUGUGCGCACCUUUCAUAUCAAAAGCCGGAUAAUCUGCCCACCUGAUAUCGGUAAUGAGUUGCUACUACUGCCCUGCUGUGCAUAAUGGUCAUUCUGUGCAGCAAAAUGAGUCUGAAAAGCAGUCACUACGUUACUGUUGGGAAAAAAAGGCUUUUUUUUUCCUGUAAAGAACACAAAUCAGUAGGAGUUUCCCCCAUGACAAUAAUGAGGAUUUCGCAAUUCUGACUAAGGAACAAAUGUGGUGUGCUUUCAGA